rnacentral:rRNA from 1 species
UACGGAGGUGGCAAGCGUUGCUCGGAAUCACUGGGCGUAAAGCGCACGUAGGCGGCUUUGUAAGUUAGAGGUGAAAGCCCGGGGCUCAACUCCGGAAUUGCCUUUAAGACUGCAUCGCUAGAAUUGUGGAGAGGUAAGUGGAAUUCCGAGUGUAGAGGUGAAAUUCGUAGAUAUUCGGAAGAACACCAGUGGCGAAGGCGACUUACUGGACACAUAUUGACGCUGAGGUGCGAAAGCGUGGGGAGCAAACAGG